rnacentral:rRNA from 1 species
CGGUUAAAAAGCUCGUAGUUGAAAUUGUGUCCUGCGGCGUCGGUCUACCGACUGCGGUACGACAGGCGCGUCUGCGGGGCUUCUCGCCGGUGCGUGUUUUCCGUCGGCGCGUCGACGUCGGUCCCUCCGUUGGAUCGGCGUCGCGUCGAGGCGGGCCCUCGCGGCUGUUUACUUUGAACAAAUUAGAGUGCUCAAAGCGGGCUAAUAUUUGCCUGAAUAUUGUGCGCAUGGAAUAAUAGAAUAGGACCUCGGUUCUGUUUUGU